rnacentral:rRNA from 1 species
UACGUAGGGGACAAGCGUUGUCCGGAAUCAUUGGGCGUAAAGAGCGUGUAGGCGGCCAGAAAAGUCCGCUGUGAAAACUCGAGGCUCAACUUCGAGCUGUCGGUGGAAACUUUCUGGCUAGAGUCCGGAAGAGGAGAAUGGAAUUCCUGGUGUAGCGGUGAAAUGCGCAGAUAUCAGGAAGAACACCAGUGGCGAAGGCGGCUCACUGGCCCGGUACUGACGCUGAGGCGCGAAAGCGUGGGGAGCAAACAGG